UACGGAGGGGGCUAGCGUUGUUCGGAAUUACUGGGCGUAAAGCGCACGUAGGCGGCUUUGUAAGUUAGAGGUGAAAGCCCGGGGCUCAACUCCGGAAUUGCCUUUAAGACUGCAUCGCUAGAAUUGUGGAGAGGUAAGUGGAAUUCCGAGUGUAGAGGUGAAAUUCGUAGAUAUCGGGAGGAACACCAGUGGCGAAGGCGGCGACCUGGACAGAUAUUGACGCUGAGGUGCGAAAGCGUGGGGAGCAAACAGG
rnacentral:rRNA from 1 species